rnacentral:rRNA from 1 species
GGGUGGUAAUGCCGGAUGCUCCAGUUGAUCGCAUGGUCUUCUGGGAAAGCUUUCGCGGUAUGGGAUGGGGUCGCGUCCUAUCAGCUUGACGGCGGGGUAACGGCCCACCGUGGCUUCGACGGGUAGCCGGCCUGAGAGGGCGACCGGCCACAUUGGGACUGAGAUACGGCCCAGACUCCUACGGGAGGCAGCAGUGGGGAAUAUUGCACAAUGGGCGCAAGCCUGAUGCAGCGACGCCGCGUGAGGGAUGGAGGCCUUCGGGUUGUAAACCUCUUUUAUCGGGGAGCAAGCGUGAGUGAGUUUACCCGUUGAAUAAGCACCGGCUAACUACGUGCCAGCAGCCGCGGUAAUACGUAGGGUGCAAGCGUUAUCCGGAAUUAUUGGGCGUAAAGGGCUCGUAGGCGGUUCGUCGCGUCCGGUGUGAAAGUCCAUCGCUUAACGGUGGAUCCGCGCCGGGUACGGGCGGGCUUGAGUGCGGUAGGGGAGACUGGAAUUCCCGGUGUAACGGUGGAAUGUGUAGAUAUCGG